UACGAAGGGUGCAAGCGUUAAUCGGAAUUACUGGGCGUAAAGCGUGCGUAGGCGGUCUUUUAAGUCUGCUGUGAAAUCCCCGGGCUCAACCUGGGAAUGGCAGUGGAUACUGGGAGGCUAGAGUGUGUCAGAGGAUGGUGGAAUUCCCGGUGUAGCGGUGAAAUGCGUAGAGAUGUGGAGGAAUACCGAUGGCGAAGGCAGCCCCCUGGGUCAAUACUGACGCUCAUGCACGAAAGCGUGGGGAGCAAACAGG
rnacentral:rRNA from 1 species